rnacentral:misc_RNA from 1 species
GGCUCCCGGCUACAGCUCACGCUCUUGCUAAAGCUGCAGUACCUGCAAGAGGUCCGAUGGCGACAACGCGGUGGCUGGCAACACUUGUGCUGAUGGUGGUCUCCGCCAGAUGUCAGGAGGUGAAGCUGGUCUUCACCGUCGACAUAGCUGGCCACUACGUGCCGUAUGACGAAUCUGGUGUCGACUGCAAGCCAGAAACCCAAACAAUUUCCAUUUUACCGGGAAUAAUGGAGUUGUCCAGCAAUGAAGACGAUGAUGCGAUGGACGCGAAGUCACCCACUCCACACUGGCCGCAGGACUGUAAUGGUGGACUAGGGAGGCAAAAAACCCAGAUAGAGAAGUUGAUGAACUCCACCAAUACGUUGGCUGUAACUGCUGGAAACCUUCUCGGAUCCGGGCGGUGGGAACUUCCGAUCCAGUACCAGGCGGCUGUUGAGGCAGCCCGCAUGUACGACGUCAUGGGACUGGCAGUUAGCGAUUUCCGGCGUGGUGCCCGGUUCCUCCGGGACUACCUGUUAGCGAUCAACAAGACCGGCCACACCGUAAAGGUCGUCGCCUGCAACGUAGAAUCUACGACUCUGGGUAACCUGGUGCAACCCUUAGCUGUCUCCCAUGGCACAGCAUUUGUCGGCUUUGUUGAUUACGACACAGACGAGGAAACUAUGUUUUUGGAUCCGGAAAUUCAGCUGAAUAAUCUGAGCUGCGUCCAGAAUGAGGUUUCGAGGUGGAAGAGCUCAAAGGAAGACAGGCCGGUGGUAAUCAUGGGAUGCACAUCUUCUGUUGCUAGACUGAACAACCUCACUGGCGGAAUACUUAACAACACCAACGUCACCGCAGCUGUACUGUCUUGCCUGCCAGACCCAGAGAAGAAGAAGAUCAGUUACAACCCCACGGCGUACACGGCGUGGUACCGCUUCUGGUAACUAGGGGCAACGGCAAAACGGUGGGCUUCUGGCAUACUCACAACGGUUUUAAUGAAACGGAGCUCGAUUCGACGGUGGAGGCGGAUAAUAACACGUUUAGCAACAUUACGUCACUGCAGGAACAGGUCGAGGACUUUUACACUGGCAGUGUCAGGUCAUAUUUCAACUUCACCCCAGUCAGCUGCUCCAGCGAGGAAUGCGCUGUGGGUGACAUCAUCACGGACGCCAUCUUGGUGCAGAUGGUGGUGUCAGAAGGUCUCCCUAUUCCGGAGAGUUUCAGGCCCAUGGCCGUCUGGCCGGGUCACAACAUCACCGAUGGCAUCAG